rnacentral:rRNA from 1 species
UGGUAAUGCCGGAUGCUCCGGUUGGAUGCAUGUCCUUCCGGGAAAGAUUCCAUCGGUAUGGGAUGGGGUCGCGUCCUAUCAGCUUGAUGGCGGGGUAACGGCCCACCAUGGCUUCGACGGGUAGCCGGCCUGAGAGGGCGACCGGCCACAUUGGGACUGAGAUACGGCCCAGACUCCUACGGGAGGCAGCAGUGGGGAAUAUUGCACAAUGGGCGCAAGCCUGAUGCAGCGACGCCGCGUGCGGGAUGGAGGCCUUCGGGUUGUAAACCGCUUUUGAUCGGGAGCAAGCCCUUCGGGGUGAGUGUACCUUUCGAAUAAGCACCGGCUAACUACGUGCCAGCAGCCGCGGUAAUACGUAGGGUGCAAGCGUUAUCCGGAAUUAUUGGGCGUAAAGGGCUCGUAGGCGGUUCGUCGCGUCCGGUGUGAAAGCCCAUCGCUUAACGGUGGGUCUGCGCCGGGUACGGGCGGGCUGGAGUGCGGUAGGGGAGACUGGAAUUCCCGGUGUAACGGUGGAAUGUGUACAUAUCGGGAA